rnacentral:RNase_P_RNA from 1 species
CAGGGGGCUGAGGCAGCCGCGUUAUCGUAAGAUACCGAGGAAAGUCCGGGCUCCACGAAGCAAUGGUGGCGGGUAACGCCCGCCGGGCGAGGGUUUUCUGACCCAAGUUCAGGGAAAGUGCCACAGAGAGUAUACCGCCGAUGGCGCACGCUGUUCGCAGCGGCGCGCACAGGCAAGGGUGAAAGGGUGCGGUAAAGGCGCACCGGGGCUCUGGUAACAGCGUCCGCAUGGCAAACCCCACCUGGAGCAAGGCCAAAUAGGGGUCUCGCGCCCUCCUUAGGGUAGGGCAGGAGUGGCUCGCUCCGAGAGAUCCGGGUUGGCUGCUUGAGCUGCUCAGCAAUGGGCAGCCUAGAUGAAUGGUUGCCGCCGCGAUUUAGGUCCUUCGGGAUACCGGCUCGCGGAGACAGAACCCGGCUUAUGACGCCCCCUGAUGA